rnacentral:tRNA from 3 species
GGCGCAUUGGUGAAGCGGUCUAACACACUCGACUUUCUAUCGAGCAUACAGGGGUUCGAAUCCCCUAUGCGCUACCA